rnacentral:rRNA from 1 species
GACGAACGCUGGCGGCGUGCUUAACACAUGCAAGUCGAACGGAAAGGCCCUGCGCUUGUUGCGUGCUCGAGUGGCGAACGGGGGUGUAACACGUGAGUAACCUGCCCUUGUCUUUGGGAUAACUCCACGAAACUGGGGCGAAUACCGGAGAGAAGCUCUUGCUGCAUGGUGGGGGUUGGAAAGUUUCGGCGGUGGGGGAUGGACUCGAGGCUUAUGAGCUUGUUGGUGGGGUAGUGGCAGACCAAGGCUUCGAGGGGUAGCCGGCGUGAGAGGGUGACCGGGCACAUUGGGACUGAGAUAGGCACCAGACUGCUACCGUCGGCAGCAGGGGGGAAUCUUGCACAACGGGCGGAAGUGUGAGGCAAAAACGCCGCGUGCGGGAAGACGUCUUACGGGUUGUGAACCGCUUUCGAAGGUACCGAAGCCUGAGUGACGGUAAUGGGUCAAGAAGCCACGGCUAACUACGUG